GGAAGGUCCGGGCGUUAUCCGGAUUUAUUGGGUUUAAAGGGAGCGUAGGCCGUCUGUUAAGCGUGUUGUGAAAUGUCGGGGCUCAACCUGGGCAUUGCAGCGCGAACUGGCAGACUUGAGUGCACGGGAAGUAGGCGGAAUUCGUCGUGUAGCGGUGAAAUGCUUAGAUAUGACGAAGAACUCCGAUUGCGAAGGCAGCCUGCUGUAGUGCAACUGACGCUGAAGCUCGAAAGCGUGGGUAUCGAACAGGAUUAGAUACCCUGGUAGUCCACGCGGUAAACGAUGGAUGCUCGCUGUUUGCGUCUGACGUAAGCGGCCAAGCGAAAGCGUUAAGCAUCCCACCUGGGGAGU
rnacentral:rRNA from 1 species